UAGUCCACGCCGUAAACUAUGGAUGCUAGCUGUUGGUCGUAUCGACCCGAUCAGUAGCGAAGCUAACGCGUUAAGCAUCCCGCCUGUGGAGUACGAGCGCAAGCUUAAAACAUAAAGGAAUUGACGGGGGACCCGCACAAGCGGUGGAGCGUGUUGUUUAAUUCGAUGAUAAGCGAAGAACCUUACCCAGGCUUGACAUCCUGCGAAGGAUUGCGAAAGCAAACUGUGCCUUUUGGAAUGCAGUGACAGGUGUUGCAUGGCCGUCGUCAGCUCGUGUCGUGAGAUGUUUGGUUAAGUCCAUCAACGAGCGCAACCCUUAUAGUUAGUUGUAUUUUUCUAGCUAGACUGCCCUGGCAACAGGGAGGAAGGAGGGGAUGAUGUCAGGUCAGUAUUACCCUUAUGUCUGGGGCUACAAACACGCUACAAUGGCCGGUCAAAGAGAAGCCAACCCGCGAGGGGGAGCGAAAUCUCAUCAAAGCCGGUCUCAGUUCGGAUUGCAGG
rnacentral:rRNA from 1 species